CCUCUACCUACAGAGACUUUCACCUGAGAUUUUCCAGGGGCUGAUCCCAAUUCAUUGUAACUCCUGGCCCUUUAGGAAAGAUAAAGAGGCAACUAAGGAAUAUCCUUCCACUUUACAGAUUUCUUUCAGCCAGACAGCGGGAGCAGACCUGAGACCAGAUCCGAAAAAUGGACUUGGCCAAUUGGAUUCUUUUGGGGCAUUAAACAAGUUUCUGGUGAGAAGGUCAGACAGAACAGGAUGCAUUAAGAGAUGUCUUGAGGUAGAGAAAAGCCACGAUGGGCCAUGUGCUGGCUGAAGAAAGCCAAGGAAGCUGGCUGAUAGAGAGGAGAGUGAGCCACUGACCAGCAUGAAUCAGAGAUGGAUCAUGAAGACCUGCGAGAAACUUUCAGUUACCUGCAAUCAGCCAUGUUCUGGGAGCAGAUGAUCCUGCUUCUGACACAUUGUCAAAAGGUCAACAGUAGCCUGAUGCUCUGUCACAAUGUCUACAUCAUUCACCUCACUUCAUCUCAUCACGUAGGCGUGGUAUGUUCUCAAUCAUCACAAGAAGGAGGGUGGCAGCUUGUUCUUUUGUCAUAUUUUGGGUGUACUCUAGUAGUUCUGGAAAGAUCUUAUGGAACAAGUGUUAAGAAGGCAUUAUAUGAAGAAAAGAAGUCUAACAUUUGGAGGCUGUUUCAGAUGCUCUUGACUUCGGAACCAUCUCCCUCUCUGGCUCUGACACAUGGUUCUAUGCCCUCAUAGUGGCUGUGCUUGAAUAACUGGCUCUUACAAAGGCCAUUUCCCUGUUUGCUCUAUGUAAAUAGAAUCACACGUUAGGUACUGUUCUCUGGAAUUGUAGUAAGAUGGUUGAAGUUGUAAUUUUGUAUAUUCAUAUUAGCACAUUGGAAUAUGUUUCCUGUUUCCUUUGGUCUUCCUGGUUUUCUGCGUGCCUGGCCACUUGAGCGAAGAUGAAGGAGAAAUCACAUUUGAAGCAGGGGUUAAGGAGACUUGGCUGAACUUCCUAAAACUUUAUGAGCAAAGCUGUUGGCCAGAAAUUCCAUGUGUUGUUUUAACUCUGUUUUCUUACUGCAUCUCCCUCUGAAAAAGUGCAAAGAGUUACCCCAUUGGCCAGCUGCUAGUUGCUGCACUGAAGAGUCGGAUACGAUUAGCAUCAACCAAAGUUAGAAAUGGAUAGCUGAGGGUAAAUGUUUUCGAGUUGUUGAAAACAGAAGUAUGGACUUUAACAUCCAACCUCGGGAGCCGUUGUUUGAGAGCGCCAGUCUAUGAGAUCAUGUAACAGCAAGGCCUCUAAAAAAUCACUCUACAUCUGCCCAAGGUGCUGAUAUUCAGUUAGAUGAGUUUUGGCCUUGACUAGAGAGAAAUCUAAGUAAAACUGGUUAUGAUUAGGAAAAGGAAAAACGAUCUCACUGUUUUGUGUUCUAUAGGAGUUUAUAGUUCUUUCAUAUCAAUGAGUAAGAUUUUAAGCAUUUUUAUAUAUUUGCUAUAAAUAUUUCCCUAGUUUGCUGUUUACUUUUCAAUUUUAAUUCUUUUGAAUGAUUUAAAAUUUAUAUGUAGUUAAAUCAGAUGAUUUUUCCUUUUAAUUUCUUUCACUGUUUUAAGCUUAGAAUGUUUUCUUUCUAAAACUUUGGUAUUUGAUACUAUUUCUUCUAGCUUUUGAUAGAUUAAUUUUUUAAACCAACUGUACUUUUUUUAUUCACUUGGAAUUUAUGUGGGUCCAUGGUACAAGAUAAUGACUAAACUGGCUUCUUUUCCUAAUGAGUAAUAGCAUUAUUUGUUGAUUCAGUAUUCCUCUUCUCUGCUGACUUGUGAUUUCUCUUCCGUCAUAUAUCAUAUAUUCGUAUGAUUUAUUUCUGAGCCAUCUAUUCUGUUCCAUUGGCUUGUCAGUCUAUUCUUGUGCUAUAAUCAUGCCUGUUUUAAUUAGUAUUAGUAAUUGGCAUGCAUUAGUAUUCAGUAGAGCUGUUCUUCUAACAAGGAAUGAGGAUUCUUUUGUACCAGAAGUUAGCAGGUAAGCUUCUUAAUUAUAAUUUUAUUAUCAACUUACGAAACGGUAUCAUAUAAAUCUAUUGUAUUUAAAUAUAUAUGUAGGCUCAAAAAGUAUAAUAAAAGCCUAUCCGCUCAGCUUUAGACUAACUUUCUUGUAUAUUUGAAGAGCUGUUUUUCUGUUUAUUUCAAAACAUCUCAAAGAGAUAUUCAAUACACACUAUAUGUCCAUGCCAUGAGACCUGGUUUUAGAGAACUUACUCUGUUCUAAAAACAAUCUCCCAUUAACCCUGGGCACAAAACAAGGUGGAGAAGGAUAAAAAUGGGAAAAGCUGCCGUUUUAUACUCCAGUAUUAAUAAAUCAAUUAUGGACACUCUGGAGCGGUAGGAUUAUGCCUCUUUCUUGCCCCCUCCUCGCCUCUUUUUCCUUUUAAAAAUACUUUUUAAUUUAAUUAUGAAUA
rnacentral:lncRNA from 1 species